rnacentral:rRNA from 1 species
CGAAAAGGAUUAGAUAUCCUGGUAGUCCACGCCGUAAACGAUGAGUGCUAAGUGUUAGGGGGUUUCCGCCCCUUAGUGCUGCAGCUAACGCAUUAAGCACUCCGCCUGGGGAGUACGGUCGCAAGACUGAAACUCAAAGGAAUUGACGGGGGCCCGCACAAACGGUGGAGCAUGUGGUUUAAUUUGAAGCAACGCGAAGAACCUUACCAGGUCUUGACAUCCUCUGACAAUCCUAGAGAUAGGACGUCCCCUUCGGGGGCAGAGUGACAGGUGGUGCAUGGUUGUCGUCAACUCGUGUCGUGAGAUGUUGGUUUAAGUCCCGCAACGAGCGCAACCCUUGAUUUUAGUUGCCAGCAUUCAGUUGGGCACUCUAAGGUGACUGCCGGUGAAAAACCGGAGGAAGGUGGGGAUGACGUCAAAUCAUCAUGCCCCUUAUGACCUGGGCUACACACGUGCUACAAUGGACAGAACAAAGGGCAGCGAAACCGCGAGGUUAAGCCAAUCCCACAAAUCUGUUCUCAGUUCGGAUCGCAGUCUGCAACUCAACUGC